rnacentral:rRNA from 1 species
GACGAACGCUGGCGGCGUGCCUAACACAUGCAAGUCGAACGGAGAUACAUUGUAGCAAUACGAUGUAUCUUAGUGGCGGACGGGUGAGUAACGCGUGAGCAACCUACCUUACAGAGGGGGAUAACACGCCGAAAGGUGUGCUAAUACCGCAUGACAUGUGGGGAUGGCAUCAUCCUUACAUCAAAGAUUUUAUCGCUGUAAGAUGGGCUCGCGUCCGAUUAGAUAGUUGGCGGGGUAAUGGCCCACCAAGUCGACGAUCGGUAGCCGGACUGAGAGGUUGAACGGCCACAUUGGGACUGAGACACGGCCCAGACUCCUACGGGAGGCAGCAGUGAGGAAUAUUGGUCAAUGGGCGGAAGCCUGAACCAGCCAUCCCGCGUGCAGGAAGAAGGCGCUAAGCGUUGUAAACUGCUUUUGCAGGGGAAGAAACUUCCGGUUGCGACCGGGACUGACGGUACCCUGUGAAUAAGCAUCGGCUAACUCCGUGCCAGCACG